rnacentral:lncRNA from 1 species
GUGUAUUCCCAACUAUUGGGGUCUGGGGGGUAAGAUGUACGCAGUCCAUACCUCUACCUCUGAUGAAGUAGAAAGGCUGUUUCCCAUAGACCCCCCGGCUCAAGGCACGAGAUACCACACAAACACAUAGUAAAGCACAGAAGCAGAUUACAUAACAUAAAUACGGCACCCAUAAGUAAUAUAAAACAGAGGAAAGCAGAGGAAAGCACACAGAUUCGUAAUAAAACAUGAAACACGA